rnacentral:rRNA from 1 species
GGACGGGUGAGUAACGCGUGGGUAACCUGCCUCAUAGAGGGGGACAACAGUUGGAAACGACUGCUAAUACCGCAUAGUAAGAAAGAUUCGCAUGUUUCUUUCUUGAAAGAUUUAUCGCUAUGAGAUGGACCCGCGUCUGAUUAGCUAGUUGGUAAGGUAACGGCUUACCAAGGCGACGAUCAGUAGCCGGCUUGAGAGAGUGAACGGCCACAUUGGGACUGAGACACGGCCCAAACUCC